rfam:Homo sapiens chromosome 11, GRCh38 reference primary assembly.
GCUGGGUGUGGUGGUGUGCACCUGUAGUCCCAGCUACUCGGAAGGCUGAGGCAAGAGGAUCACUUGAGCCCAGGAGGUCCGCGCUGCAGUGAGCCAUGAUCACGCCACUGUACUCCAGCCUGGGCCACAGAGCGAGACCCUGUCUUAA